rnacentral:tRNA from 1 species
UCCCUGGUGGUCCAGUGGUUAAGACUCCGAGCUUCCAACUCAGGGGGUGCAGGUUCGAUCCCUGCUAGAGAA